rnacentral:rRNA from 1 species
CGGCACCUGUCUUCGGAUAGAAGCGAGUGGCGAACGGCUGAGUAACACGUGGAGAACCUGCCCCCUCCCCCGGGAUAGCCGCCCGAAAGGACGGGUAAUACCGGAUACCCCGGGGUGCCGCAUGGCACCCCGGCUAAAGCCCCGACGGGAGGGGAUGGCUCCGCGGCCCAUCAGGUAGACGGCGGGGUGACGGCCCACCGUGCCGACAACGGGUAGCCGGGUUGAGAGACCGACCGGCCAGAUUGGGACUGAGACACGGCCCAG